rnacentral:rRNA from 1 species
CGUUAAAGGAAUUGACGGGGCCGCACAAGCGGUGGAGCAUGUGUUAAUUCGACGCAACGCGAAGAACCUUACCAGGGCUUGACAUCCCCUGACCGCGUAUGAAAGUACGUUUUCACCCUCGGGUGACAGGGAGACAGGUGGUGCAUGGUUGUCGUCAGCUCGUGUCGUGAGAUGUUGGGUUAAGUCCCGCAACGAGCGCAACCCCUACGUUUAGUUGCUAACGCGUGAAGGCGAGCACUCUAGACGAGCUGCCGUUGACAAAACGGAGGAAGGUGGGAUGACGUCAAAUCAUCAUGCCCCUUAUGUUCUGGGCUACACACGUGCUACAAUGGCCGGUACAGACGGACGCAAAGCCGCGAGGUGGAGCAAAUCCUAAAAAGCCGGUCUCAGUUCGGAUUGCAGGCUGCAAUUCGCCUGCAUGAAGUCGGAAUCGCUAGUAAUCGCAGGUCAGCAUACUGCGGUGAAUACGUUCCCGGGCCUU